UACGGAGGGGGCUAGCGUUGUUCGGAAUUACUGGGCGUAAAGCGCACGUAGGCGGCUUUGUAAGUUAGAGGUGAGAGCCCAGGGCUUAACCCUGGAAUUGCCUUUAAGACUGCAUCGCUAGAAUCGUGGAGAGGUGAGUGGAAUUCCGAGUGUAGAGGUGAAAUUCGUAGAUAUUCGCAAGAACACCAGUGGCGAAGGCGGCUCACUGGCCCGGUACUGACGCUGAGGUGCGAAAGCGUGGGGAGCAAACAGG
rnacentral:rRNA from 1 species